CUUGUGAUGUAAAGUUGGAUCCACGUCCAGAAUAUCAUCGCUGUAUACUGACAUGGCACCAUCAGGAACCACUUCCCUGGGCACAGAGCACAGGAAACCAAAUGAGUAGUCGGCUAAUGAGCAUGCGCAGUGCCAACGGCCUUCUGAUGUUGCCUCCAAAAACAGAGCAAUACGUGGAGCUGCACAAGGGUGAAGUCGUGGACGUCAUGGUCAUAGGACGGCUAUGAUGUCAUCUUAAGGGGACAGACCAAGUACAGAGCAAGAAAGUGGUGCAUGUCCACAUAUCAUUACUAUUCUGUAAUAUGCAAUGGCACAGCUAGGUUUUAUUGAUUUGGGAGAAGUUGAUCCAAUAUAAUCAACAUUUCGAACGAAGACGAAUAUGUGAAAGUUCUGAAAAUACGACUUCGAAGACAUCAUAGUAUUUCAAAGACAGAAAACAUUAUACCUUUUAAAGUGAGAAUAUAUAUAUAUAUAUAUAUAUAUAUAUAUAUAUAUAUAUAUAUAUAUAUAUAUAUAUAUAUAUAUAUAUGAGAGAUUUAUUCUGUAAUAUAUUGUUAUAAUUAUGAUUAUUAAUAUAAUGAUGAAUAUUAUCAUAUUUAGCAACUCUUUUCUCUUUCAUUGCAAUUGCUUUGUGUGUUCAAUGCUAGAACUUAUAGAUAGCCGUAGCAUUUUAAUAGACAGCUGUUGACACCUGUCACACAUACAUCAGAAAGCUUAUUUUCUCAUUGGUAGAAAAUGUCAUUGAGGAAUGAAAAGCUCUUCAAAAUGACAGGAGCUGGAUCUUUUCAUCUCUCCUCAAAGUGCACCAAGGUGACCCAGCGAUCUUUCCCUUUAGUAUUAUAUGCUCCAUAAAGAUAUCAUUAUGCUUCAUAAAGGGUUUACAAAACCGCUUUGCUUGUCGUUUAUCUUGUGAGUCGUGUUUAUGUGCGCAGUGCCAAAAGCCUGGGCUGUGGGGGAAGCUCUUGUGGUCGCAACGGCGAAAAGCAGCACGCGCCGCCGGGUGGCACAGAUUUUGUGCGGAAACGAUGACCCGAGGGGGUCUGUGUAAAUUCUGUGCUACUUUAGCGCUACAGGCUAUACCUCAGUCUGGAAGAUACUUCGUAGUAAACUGGCCCUCAUAGCUCUGCCCUUAUUACUCUCUAUUUUACACCCUACCCUUAAAUUUAAACUUGCCCGGCCCAAUCCUUGAAGAGGCUGAGCUCCCUGGAAACUUUUGUUUGUUUAACUUUGAAGAUGAAGACACAGCUUAUUUAAGUGCUGACUGCCUUUUUAAAUGAAUUACAUAAAAAUGUACAGUCCCAAAAAAUGCAAGAGUGAUAUUGUACAGACAAGUGACCAGCACUCCUGAGGAAUACUAUGGUACUGAAAAGAUAUUGAAAACCUCUGUACUAUAAUAUCAUUUUCUGUAAUACUGAUCUAAUGCGAGAAUUAAAAUUCUUGAUCAUUAUGUAAAGACAUGAUUCAGUUUCAUUUUUUUUAAUAAACACUGAAAGCUGAUUGA